AAUCAACGCUGGCGGCGUGCCUAACACAUGCAAGUCGAACGCGAAAGGGGCUUCGGCCCUGAGUAGAGUGGCGAACGGGUGAGUAACACGUGGGUGAUCUACCUUCGAGUGGGGGAUAACGUCCCGAAAGGGACGGCUAAUACCGCAUGACGUUCUGGGUUUGUAAGACCUGGAAACCAAAGCCGGGGACCGGCAAGGCCUGGCGCUUG
rnacentral:rRNA from 1 species